UCUGGUGAAUCUGAUCAGAUUAGCUGGACUCUGAGCAAAAAAAGUAAGUUCUCGACCAAAUCGGUCUACACCUAUUUGGAAAGGCACCUGGUUGGGUGCGAUUACAGGUGGAUCUGGAAAGCUAAGAUUCCCCUCAAAAUCCAAAUCUUUAUUUGGCAAUUGUUUUAAGACGCAAUUCUGACGCGAGAAGUCAUGAAGAGGCGAAAUUGGGAAGGCAAUCCUAGAUGCUUGUUCUGCAAAGAUGUUGAAACUUUGCAACAUCUUUUUUUCACUUGUCCUGUGGCUCGGGUGGUUUGGAGGACGGUUGGGUGUGUGUUGGGCACAUCUCUUUGCCCGAACAAUAUCUGGCAGUACUUCUCCUGGUGUUACAUAUUCCUUCCUGAUGGGGCUAAGUUUUACACCUUUGGUUUGGCAGCUGUUUGCUGGACAUUCUGGAACUGUCGCAACCAGGCUACUUUUGAACAAAAAAUGCUUAAGACUCCAUUUAAUAUGGUGUAG
rnacentral:rRNA from 1 species